AUCAGCCGCAAACAGUAGGUAAGGCCCCACACACAGGCCAUCGGAAAGCCCCAGCCCUGAGCCUUCCUGUAGGCAAGUAUUUUGGGGACCUGUAGUUGCCAAGCAACGGCUCCAGGUUGCCAUGGGAACUCUCCUUUCUUCUGGGGCUUAUCUCUUUUAGCGAGAUGCCCUCGCCUCUCUACCUCCUCACCCUGACUUGGCUGCCAGGGGGAGACAUGGCGGUCCCAUAAACUGAUUCUCCCACCCCUGGGAGACCACCCACCCGUGACCCUAAGAGAAGACUCCUGAAGGUUCAAAACCCCAGAACUCUGAGAAAAUGCAGAGGACAGAGCCCAAGGCCUUCAUUAGAGCGGAGAGAGGACGAAAGGGGUUCAUUAGCUCUGUUUACGUCUCCACUCUCGCUGUUAACCACCACCCUGGGGCCGGCCCAGCCCUGAUCUUUGGAAGCUCAGGGUAAUUGGAAGGAAUUCGGCCCGACACCCAUGCCUGGCCCCUCCCAGGCUUGUCUGCACUGUAUGUAGGGACGUGCCCCCACCCCCGGCCGGCCGCUACCUCGCUGGGGGAGCCCCUUUGCCUGCCAGCGCCUUGGUUUCCCGUGAGCGUGGGUGGCAGCAGAGCCCAUCCUGCAGAUACGAGAUACCACAGCCCAAGGCCAGGCUCAGGGACAGCGCUCUGGGCUGGCUACCAUCACCAGGUACCGCCAGAGCGCAGGAUGGAGGUGCGGGAGUGCUUAUUCUACUGAGUGUGGCCCCGUGGCUAGUGUGCCACUGAUGGCAGAGCGGUCGCCAAAUCCAGGUCCCCAGGCUCCCAGCCCAAUGCCGUCCCCACUGGGCUUAUUGCUUAGCGUACACCCCUGUUCCUGCCUUCUUCCUCUGUGGCCUCGACGGCUCCGAUGAGAGCCAAGAUGCUCCAUGCAGGCCAGGUGCUCAGCUCUGAGCCCCUCGAUAAACACGUGUUCCGUGAAUUAAUCCGUGACAUACUGCUCAGGACUGGCAGCCACAGCCUUGGGAGAUUCCGACAUGCCCGAGGACCACAGCGAGAAACAGCCUUCACUUCCCAGGCCAGAGCCACACCGGGCACCUGGCGCCUUCCCACUGAUGCCCAGGGGAGCCCAGGGCCCUGCUCCUCAGUCCCAGAGGGUGCUCCCUGCUCUCUAUAAGAGGACAGGGCAGAGCCCCACCAGACGGGCAGUGGGGGAGAUCAGGCAGCAUCGCCCUCUCAUCUGGCCUAUCUCUGGGGAAGGGACCCCUCACGCUUCCACCUGCACGGACGGCCUACCCAUCCCCAUGGCUGCCUUCCGUGUUCUCUCAGCACCUAAGGCAUGUGGCCACCCGCCUGAAGUAAUGGGAGAGCUGUCUGGAAGCCACCGGUGUAAUUGUAGCUGCAGGGCCCCUGCAAGUGGCUGAGAAGGGGCGGCUCAGCUUGCAGGUGAAACAGGAAACACAAAACUAAGUCCAUGCAGGCUUGGCCCUGCCGGGCUCCCUGGCCACCCAUCCGGGUUGCCACCCAGUCACUACCCCACGGUCCCGCCUUUUUUGAUUUCCCCCACUGUGUGUCACCCCUGAAAUGACUGUGCUCUGUGUUUACAAGUGAUUGUCGUCUCCUCGCAACUGGAAGGUGAGACCUUUGUCUCCGCGCUGCGGCCGCUCAGAGCAGCUCCCCGGCGGCCACAGGGAGGGCGCAGCGCCACCUGCUGGUGAUGCGCCAGGAGGAGCCCCGCUGGGGAACCGGGCUGUCCCUGAUGGCGCACCCCCCAGGCUGUGCUCACACCCCACAGGCCUGAGCUGGGGGCCAAGCCCCCAAGACCUCCUCAGACCCCAAUUGCUACCUCUAUCCCUGUGGGCUUUGGGGGUAGAAUGCCCCUGCUGUGGGUUGAAUUGUCCCCCUAAAAGCUACACUGACGUCCCAACCUCUUGCAUCCGUGAGUAAGACCUUAUUUGGACUCAGGGUCUUUGCAGAUGUAAUCAAGUUAAGAUGAGGUCAUGCUGGAGUAGGGAGGGCCCUAAUCAAAUGUCCUUAUAAGAGGAAAAAUUGGACACAGACACACAGAGGAGGCCACGUGCAGCUGGAAGCGGAGUUUGGAGUGAUGCGACUACAAGACAAGGAACGCUAGGAUUGCUGGCAAACAUGAGAAACUGGAAGAGGCAAGAAGGACCCCACCCCGACCCCCAGAGCCUUCAGAGAGCAUAGUGCUGCAUAACACCUUGACUUUGGACCCCAGGCCUCCAGAUCAAGUUUUGCUGUUUUGGGCCCGCACAGUUUGUAGCACUUGGUUACAGCAGCUACAGGGCACAAAUACACGGCCCCCCCACAGUGGACCAAGCUCCACAUCUGUUGCCCUGGCCAAGGGCAGCCAAGCCAGAGCUCCAGGCAGAAUCCAGGGGACCUGACAACGAUGCAGGUGACCGGGGCAGGGAGGGUGGAGCACAGGUGAGCGCUCAGGAGACACCAGAUGCCUCCUCUCCAGUAUCACGCCUCCUCUCCCCAAUCAACUCUGACCACAGGACACUUCCUUCCAGAAUAUCUCUCUGCAUCCACCCACUGCCCAGAUGAGUCCUGCCAAUAAGCUGUGAAUGAUCUCAGGGACAGACCCCACCCUGCCCGAGCCUCAGUUUGAGACCACAGCCCAGCCUCCCAGGAGACCUUGAGGCAGAGGCUCCCAGCUGUGCUGAGCCUGCGUCCUGGUCACAGACACUGUGAGGUGGUCAGUGAUCUCAUAAAUGCUAGGUUAGGGGAACGCCGCCAUGCAGCAUAGAUGGGGCAUCCCUGCAGGUCUGACCUUGUACCCCCCUCCCGCCCUCCUCUCCCCCCCAGCUCCCCAGCCACACUGGCUCCUGUCUCACCUGCUCUCUGCCCAAAGUCUCUUCUGUCUCAGCACCUUUGAUCUUCCCCCAGGCACCCUUCUUGGUGUAUAUAGGGCCGGCGCCUCUUGGCUUUCGGGUCACAGCAUCAGUGUCACCAUGGAGACCUUGUAGACCCCCUAGGGGCUUCUAGCCCGCCCUCCAGGACCCCUACUCCAUUCCUUAGAGAGAAUUGCUCUCCUCGCUCCCAUGGAUUUGCUUUUCUGCUUUUGUUCAUCUGCCCCUCCAAGCUGUGAAUCCUGGUGAGUGUCCCGGGCACAGUAGCUGAAUGACCAAUAGCGGGUCUCAGAGCCCCCUCCUGCCUCUGAGUAGAUCAUAUUGUGGACAUGGAGGCUAAUAAUAAAAGAUGCUUGUUGGGUCAGAGGCAGGGGGACGCUCAGAAUGACCCCUGGGUGUCCCUUCCCUGUUCUGGUUGCUCCAUUGAGCACCGUAGGCACAGCCCGCCCCCUGGUGGUCAUCCCUAGCACUGCAGCCCGAGGCAGGAAACCAGAAAACAAAACACACACCUUUGUUUGGAUGUAGUCAAGGCAGCGGCUCUCCCUCCCCCAGAAGGGCAAAGGAGCAAGACCUGCUGGGUCCAGAGGCGAUGCGAGGGGCCUUAGAAGCCUUUCUUGUCCCCCUGUUUCCCUCCACUGUCGUGGUGUCCAUUUCACUCACGAAGCCUCCUCACCCCAACCAGGGCAAUGACUCCACCCACCGCCAAAUGAGGACCUCCAGGCGCCAACAGAGACGGUUUUGCCCCAUCUCUGGACAAGUGGUUCCGUGCUCUGCCUCACUCUGCACCACUCAGGUCCCCAGUGCUUCAGCCGGCAGGCUGCUACGGGCUCCGAAGGAUCUCGAGAGUCAAAAGCAUUUUCCAAGGACUCAGCAGAGUGGGUCAUGGAUGGAGAGCCAAGGCCAACACAUUCUUCUGCAAGCCUGUGGGACCCUGGGGGCAUCCCACCUAUGCACCUGUCUACAGCGCAGGCUGUGACAUGGUCGUGCUGUGGGUUUGAACCCAGAUCAUUCUGACCCUGAAGGCUGUGCCUGUCCAGGAGCCCAGCAGGUGGCCUCUGUGCCCAGCCUCGGAGGGCCUCAGAGCAGUGGAGCGACCUGCCCAGUGUCCCAUAUGUGCUACAACAGACUCCAACCUGCGUUCUCUCAGCUGUCUCACAUUCAUUCAGUCAUUCAACAAACAUCAUGGAAUGCGCAAACCUGGCUGGCCACCAUCUACAUACCUCUUCAGGGUUUACCAAUCCAGGAACGGGGUGGAGAGGGGCAGAGCAUUAUAAAUGAUGACACAGGAAUAAAGACAUACAGGAAUGCUGAA